rnacentral:rRNA from 1 species
UACGGAGGGUGCGAGCGUUGUCCGGAAUCACUGGGCGUAAAGGGCGCGUAGGUGGCCCGAUGAGUCAACGGUGAAAGCUCGAUGCUCAACAUCGAGUCGGCCGUCGAUACUGUCGGGCUGGAGCACUGUAGAGGCUCAUGGAAUUCCGGGUGUAGCGGUGGAAUGCGUAGAGAUCCGGAAGAACACCGGUGGCGAAGGCGGCCUGCUGGGCAGUUGCUGACACUGAGGCGCGACAGCGUGGGGAGCAAACAGG